rnacentral:tmRNA from 1 species
GGGGGCGAAACGGCUUCGACGGGGAUGUGUAAGCUCUACGUUGCAUGCCGAGCUUCUGUCAGCUCGUAAAACCGACGGAACACAAUUAUAAUCGCCGACGAUUAUAACUACGCAGUAGCAGCUUAACCGCUGUCAUACUGCCGUCCCACCAGCCUUCGCCCGAAAGGCGGGAUCCGGGGCGUCGACUCAACGGGCUGGUUCGGUGAUGGUGCCUGACUGUCACCAGACGAGAUUUUUCAGGAUAGCGGCGAGAAAUCUAUGUUCCGACUGAGUUCUCGCGGCGAAACCUAAAGUGCGGAACUAAGCAUGUAGAUACGGGAGGGGAGCAUUUGCGGACGCGGGUUCGACUCCCGCCGCCUCCACCA